UGCGGAGGAUCAUUACCGAAUUGUCGACNUGGGUUGUUGCUGGUCUCCNAACCGGGGGCACGUGCACACUCUGUUUACACAUCCAUCCACACCUGUGCACACUCUGUAGUUCUGUGGCCUGGGCGACUUUGUCCCCUUGCUGUGGUCCUAUAUCUUUACACACACACACUGCCGUAAAGUCUCAUGGAAUGUUGCCGCGUUUAACGCANUACAAUACAACUUUCANCAACGGAUCUCUUGGCUCUCGCAUCGAUGAAGAACGCANCGAAAUGCGAUAAGUAAUGUGAAUUGCANAAUUCAGUGAAUCAUCGAAUCUUUGAACGCACCUUGCGCCCUUUGGCUAUUCUGAAGGGCAUGCCUGUUUGAGUAUCAUGAACACCUCAACUCCUCAUGGUUUGCCAUGAUGAGCUUGGACUUUGGGGGUCUUGCUGGCCCAUGGUUGGCUCCUCUCAAAUGGAUCAGCUUGCCAGUGUUUGGUGGCAUCACAGGUGUGAUAAAUAUCUAUGCUUGUGGUUUUCACCAUGUAACCUUCAGCANUGAAGGUUCACUGCAGCUCACAAAUGUCCCUCCUCUGUGAGGACAGCUUUUUGAACGUUUGAUCUCAAAUCAGGUAGGAUUACCCGCUGAACUUAAGCAUAUCAUA
rnacentral:sRNA from 1 species